AUGUAGCACUCGUACACUCCGGAUCCUGUGCGCCGUCCGCACCCACCUGACAACUGCUCGCGACGUUUUGUUAGCC
rnacentral:sRNA from 1 species